AACGAACGCUGGCGGUGCGUUUUAAGCAUGCAAGUCGAACGGCAAGAAGGUGCUUGCACUUUCCUAGAGUGGCGGACUGGUGAGUAACACGUGGGUGAUCUACCUUUAAGAUGGGGAUAGCUUCUAGAAAUAAGAGAUAAUACCGAAUACACUUACGAUGUUUUGACAUUGUAAGAAAAGGAGCGUUUGCUCCGCUUAAAGAUGAGCCUGCGUCCCAUUAGCUAGUUGGUGAGGUAAAGGCCCACCAAGGCGAUGAUGGGUAUCCGGCCUGAGAGGGUGACCGGACACAUUGGGACUGAGAUACGGCCCAAACUCCUACGGGAGGCAGCAGCUGAGAAUCUUCCGCAAUGGACGAAAGUCUGACGGAGCGACACCGCGUGAAUGAUGAAGGCCGAAAGGUUGUAAAAUUCUUUUGCAGACAAAGAAUAAGGAUAGUGGGAAAUAACUGUCUGAUGACG
rnacentral:rRNA from 1 species